rnacentral:lncRNA from 1 species
GAGACAGGAGGAAAGAGGCUCCACGGACGCUGAGAGCCCGCCAGCGGAUGAACUAGAAGAGCUUCGCAGCGGCUCUCAUGCCGGGGCUGUCUUUAUAGCUGAGACUCCCGCCGGGGCCCCGCCUGGCCGCCCCGGGCUGGUCCGGCCAAUCAGGAGUGGGAGCGGGCCCCGGGGGCGGGGCUUUCUCUCGGCUUGACUCACCCGAGUAGACGAAUCUGGCUUCGGCGGCGCACGCUCAGCCCCUCCUAAUAGCGCCGCGGACCUGCCCCUGAGGCCAGCUGGGUCCGCCUCCCCCCGCCGCCUCCUGGGCGAAGACGCCAGAAGACGUAUCAGCUUUCUUUUGGUUGGUAUUUACAAGGUAUGUAUUUUCCUUUUAAUUUCAACCUUUAUUAUUAUAUUUCAAAUGUGUCUCCUAUUAAUAGCAGUUGGAUUUUUUUUAAUAGUCAAUCUUUAACUUUUUUUUUUUUUUUUUGAGACGGAGUUUCUCUCUUGUUACCCAGGCUGGAGUGCAAUGGCGCGAUCUCAGCUCACCACAACCUCCAACUCCUGGGUUCAGGCAAUUCUCCUGCCUCAGCCUCCCGAGUAGCUGGGAUUACAGGCACGCGCCACCAUGCCCAGCUAAUUUUUUGUAUUUUUAGUAGAGACGGGGUUUCACCAUGUUGACCAGGAUGGUCUCGAUCUCUUGACCUCGUGAUCCACCCGCCUCAGCCUCCCAAAGGGCUGGGAUCUUUAACUUUUAACCAGACCAUUUAAUCCUUUUACAUUUCUUACUACUAUAUUUAGAAUUAAAUAUGCCAUCUUCAAAAGUGAUUUCAUUUGUCUGAUCUAUUACAUUUCUUCUUCUCUCCUUUUUGUUCUCCUUUAAAUUGAUAUCUGAUUUUUAUGUAUCAAAUCCUCCUCUUUACCAGUUUUAAAUCAUAUCCUUUGUAUUAUUUUAUUGAUUACCUUUAAAGUUAUAUUAUACAUUUUUAAUUUAUCAAAAUUUAUCAUUAAUAAUAUAAGGAAAUCAGAACACUUGAACUCCAUAUAUUCUUUCCUGAUUUAUAUGCUACUGUUGUGUAUUUUAAGUUUGUAUUUUUUAAAGUCCACAAGAUGAUAUUAUUAUUAUUUUAUACACUUAAACAUUGGAUUUACUUAAACCUUUUCCAUUUUCUUUGCUCUUAAUUCCUUGUAUCUAAGACUUUCCAAGUGAAUUUUUUCUCCUCUUACCUGAAAUACAUGCCUUAAAAUUUCUGUCAUUGUAGAUUUGAUAGUGGCAAAAUAUGUCUCCUCUAGUGUAUCUCAAAUGUCAUUAUUUUAUAUACUGAUUUUAGGUUGGUAACUGUUUUGUUUCAGCACAUUGAAAAUAAUAUUCCACUGUCUCCUCUUACCCAUUUUUACUAGUGGAAAGUUAGCUGUUAGUAUAU